AGCGAACGCUGGCGGCGUGCCUAACACAUGCAAGUCGAACGUGAAAAGGGAAACCUGAGUAAAGUGGCGUACGGGUGAGUAACGCGUAGGUAAUCUACCCCAGAAUCUGGAAUAACCUGCCGAAAGGCGGGCUAAUACUGGAUAGAGCGAGGGAACUCGUAAGAGAGUUUUUCGGGAAAGGGAGCCCGCAAGGGCCUUCGUUCUGGGAUGAGCCUGCGUCUCAUUAGCUAGUUGGUAAGGUAACGGCUUACCAAGGCGAUGAUGAGUAGCUGGUCUGAGAGGAUGAUCAGCCACACUGGAACUGAAACACGGUCCAGACUCCUACGGGAGGCAGCAGUGGGGAAUCCUGCGCAAUGGACGAAAGUCUGACGCAGCCACGCCGCGUGAGUGAAGAAGGCCUUCGGGUUGUAAAGCUCUGUCGGAUGGGACGAACAUCUUCAUAGUGAAUAGCUAUGAGGACUGACGGUACCAUCAAAGGAAGCACCGGCUAACUCCGUG
rnacentral:rRNA from 1 species